rnacentral:rRNA from 1 species
CGCUGGCGGCGUGCCUAAUACAUGCAAGUCGAACGGUCUUUCUAUGGAAGCUUGCUUCCGCUGAGAAGAUAGUGGCGAACGGGUGAGUAACACGUGGGUAACCUGCCCAUAAGAGGGGGAUAACAUCCGGAAACGGGUGCUAAUACCGCAUAGUUUUCUUGAUCGCAUGAUCGGGAAAGGAAAGACGGCCUUUGUGCUGUCGCUUAUGGAUGGACCCGCGGCGUAUUAGUUAGUUGGUGAGGUAACGGCUCACCAAGACGAUGAUACGUAGCCGACCUGAGAGGGUGAUCGGCCACAUUGGGACUGAGACACGGCCCAAACUCCUACGGGAGGCAGCAGUAGGGAAUCUUCCGCAAUGGACGAAAGUCUGACGGAGCAACGCCGCGUGAGUGAAGAAGGUUUUCGGAAUCGUAAAACUCUGUUGUCAGAGAAGAACAAGUUGGAGAGUAACUGCUCCAGCCUUGACGGUAUCUGACCAGAAAGCCACGGCUAACUACGUGCCAGCAGCUGC